UACGUAGGGUGCGAGCGUUGUCCGGAAUUAUUGGGCGUAAAGGGUUCGUAGGCGGUUUGUCGCGUCGGGAGUGAAAACCCAGGGCUUAACCCUGGGCUGGCUUCCGAUACGGGCAGACUAGAGGUAUGCAGGGGAGAACGGAAUUCCUGGUGUAGCGGUGAAAUGCGCAGAUAUCAGGAGGAACACCGAUGGCGAAGGCAGGUCUCUGGGCAUUAACUGACGCUGAGGAGCGAAAGCAUGGGGAGCGAACAGG
rnacentral:rRNA from 1 species